UACGUAGGGGGCUAGCGUUGCUCGGAAUCACUGGGCGUAAAGCGCACGUAGGCGGACUCUUAAGUCGGUGGUGAAAUCCUGGAGCUCAACUCCAGAACUGCCUUUGAUACUGGCGACCUUGAGUCCGGGAGAGGUGAGUGGAACUGCGAGUGUAGAGGUGAAAUUCGUAGAUAUCAAGCGGAACACCGGUGGCGAAGGCGGCCUUCUGGACAGUGACUGACGCUGAGACGCGAAAGCGUGGGGAGCAAACAGG
rnacentral:rRNA from 1 species